GGCUGCAGUGUAGGGCAGGCAAUGUCAGGCCCCAUCCUGAAUCCCCGGGAAAGUCCUAAAGACUGUUCAGCUCCAGCCUUCCACAACAAGAACUAGGGGGAGCAUAAAUGGCACGGACCAGCAAUCCAGGGGCCCAGUCCUCGUGGGUAUAUGUGCAUAAGCAGCUCUGCCCUAGCUAUGGUCCUAAUACACUGUAAGGUCUUAAUACAGCCCUUCUGGAGGGAGCCGGAAGUCAGUUCUGGGCAAUCCUAGGAUCUGAUUGAAUUCCCUCUGUUCUGUACAGAGAGCAUUUCUCUGACAUUGUUUGAAAAACAAGAACUCCAGCACAUUCAGUGGAAGGAUUUUUAAAGGACCAGAACUGCACCUGCUUUCACUUGCCUGACUGGGAGGGGAGCCACGUGUCUUCCUGAGCACUAGCAAGAGUUUUUGGCCGUAAGGUGCCAUUCUGCAGUGGGGAAAGCGAAACAGAGUAGGGGAAGUGGCUUGCCAAAGAUCACCCUGGACAUCAGAGGUAGGACUGAGAAUAUAGCCCAGACAGGUGCAUGGCUAUGCCUUUACACAGUGUAAGUGCUACUGUGGGCACAGGUCUGUUAAGACUCAAAAAGGCUUUGAAUGGACCUACAGACACCACAUGUUUCCUUCUCGAGAAGAUUUUGUCAGCCCCCUUUUCUGUCCAGCUGCCCGGUUCGCCCAUGCUUCUGUCUGGGUCUGCCAACACCCAUCAGACAGGAGAUAGCAGGACACCACCCGCCUCAGUGCUCCAGAAGUGGCUUGGUGGAGCAGCACAUGCAACUACUGUCAAUGCAGCAGCAUCUGGGGCAGCUCAGCAGAGACCUCUGCCAGGACCAGCACUGGCACCUCAGAGGGGCUGCUUCACGGAGGUUUUGCUCCCAAUUCCUGCAAGCAGGGAAGGUUGUUCUGCCUCUGAAAGCCGGUGCCAAAUUAUGUUCCAACAGCUGUAUGUUCUCCAGCAUGAGUCAUCCCCACCCUGAGCGCUAAGCCUAUCCACAACAACAUUCCUUCUUUGUGAUCUAAGGUCCUGGCUAGGUUAAAUUGCCAUCUAACAUCACUCUUCCCCUCCCGCCUCCUUGCAACCUAUUGGGAUGUCUGAGUUCUAAGACAAGAGAGACUAAGAGAUCAAAGUCCAUCGUUGGACCUCCCCCACUCCUGAGGAAAUCAUGAGAUUCAUGCCAAAAAUCAUGGGAUUUCUUUUUUCAGAAAUAGGUUGUUUUUCCAGUGUUUGAACUCCUCUGUGCAUGACAAUUAAUGCUGCCCACCCUUCCAGACUUACUGACUACGGUGAUUUUGGUCUUUUGCUGAGGCAGCAGCUCCUGCCCUCACAUCUGCCCGUCUCCUACCUAGCAAUAAAUUCUUCCCCCUCCCCCUCAAAAAACCCUCCAAAUGAAUCCUGCACAUCCUACAUCAGUUCUGCUGCCUGCAUUGAUUCUCCUGCGCCCGGCAGCCCUAUCUCUGCCCCUUCUGGAUUUCUACCUCAUCCUAGCCUUCAGGAUAAGGCAGUGGUUCCCAAACUGUGGGUCGCGACCCCAAAUGGGGUCACAACGUCAGCAGAUGGAGUUGCGAUAAACGUGGCCCCUGUGAUUUCUGUGCCCACAGUAGGGUGCAGGGCUGCAGCUGGGCUACGCCGGCUCCGGGCAGAAGCUGCCUCUGCAGCUGAGCGCGUGGGACCGAUCGUGGGAGGGAGGGCUGCGCCACCACAGCUGCCAAGGUGAGGGGUGGCAGCGGCACGGGGUUGUGCCCACACUGCUGCCGAGUGAGCAGGGGGCAUCUCAGCAUCAUCCUG